ACCAGAACAUCGACCGUCAUUUUCUGAUAGUUUCCUGAUGAUUCUACACGUUGAGUCUCCGCCAGUCGUCGACACCACUGUCCUGCUGCUUUUAAAGGUUCCUCUUCCUGUUUCGGUUAGAAGAAGACACACGGCAAAAAGCUACUGACGCUGAGGUUGAGCGAUCAAGUCAUCUUAUGACGUGACGCAAAGCGGCAUUAAACCUUCUGGAAACUUCUUUUUAUGACUCUCUUGUCCUGUGGCGUACGUGUUUCUAUCGCGUGCGAUGUGGUGGCGGUGUUGCCUAUAGCAAUCUUCCAAGCGCUCUCCACGCCUGCAUCCUGAGAGGGCGAUACCUAGUCCCCUUAGCCUAAUGUAGAGGUCAAAGGGCGAUACCUAGUCCCCUUAGCCUAAUGUAGAGGUCAAAGGGCGAUACCUAGUCCUCUUAGCCUAAUGUAGUGGACUGUUUAGAACACAGGAAGUCCUUAAAACCUAUGAACACACUGUCUUAAUAAUGGGACUGACUGUCUACUUAUAGGGGGGCUGCCUGCUUUCUGCUAAGUCAUGUUGCAGGGUUGGCUAGCCAACAACUUUACAAGAGUUGGCCUCUGAAAAUUACACUGUCAUUUGGGUGAAAAGCUGAGCGACUGAAGAGACCGAGACGACUAUUUGGAUCUGUAUAUUGAAAGAGUUUCUGAAAAGGGUUUCGUGUUCGAUGCCCGUUUUUAUAUUCCUAUACUUAUCUUGUAAAACCGCAUAAUGAUUUGCGUGUAUGAAUGGCUUUUAGAUGUCAAACUAGUUACAGCUUCAGAAUGACAGGAAAGAGCUGUACAUAUUAGCCUUAUAUCGGUGUCCACUGUUAUCGCGUGGGUUAUAAUUAGGCUCAUGCUAUGCUAUGCUAUGCUAUCUAUACUAAUACAUUGCUGUUAUCGCUGACACAAGUUGUUCUGUUUUAGCCUUCUCACGUUCUGAUUGACAUUCACACCUCUGAUCAGUGCAAUUCCUUCUGGGGGGGGAAAAAAAUCUAAGUUAAUUCUAAGUUAAAUAUUUUAGUUUUUUUCUCUCGUCUCCCAUUUUGAUUUCUUCUGUCUUUAUGAAAUAAACCUUUUUAUUGAGUGAUUUAAAUGAAAUAUAUUUUCUCGGGCAUUAAAAGAGGAUUGUGCUGAA